AUACGGAGGAUGCAAGCGUUAUCCGGAUUUAUUGGGUUUAAAGGGUGCGUAGGCGGUUUGCUAAGCGGGAGGUGAAAUGCCGGCGCUCAACGUCGGAAGUGCCUCCCGAACUGGUGGACUGGAAUGACUCUGCCGUGGGAGGAAUGUGUAGUGUAGCGGUGAAAUGCAUAGAGAUCACACAGAACACCGAUUGCGAAGGCAUCUCACGAAGGGGUGAUUGACGCUGAGGCACGAGAGCGUGGGGAUCAAACAGGAUUAGAUACCCUGGUAGUCCACGCAGUAAACGAUGAUAACUAACCGCUGGGUCGUAGUGAUUCAGUGGCCAAGCGAAAGCGAUAAGUUAUCCACCUGGGGAGUACGACCGCAAGGUUGAAACUCAAAGGAAUUGGCGGGG
rnacentral:rRNA from 1 species